rnacentral:rRNA from 1 species
GACGAACGCUGGCGGCGUGCUUAACACAUGCAAGUCGAACGGAAAGGCCCUGCUUUUGUGGGGUGCUCGAGUGGCGAACGGAUGAGUAACACGUGAGUAACCUGCCCUUGACUUUGGGAUAACUUCAGGAAACUGGGGCUAAUACCGGAUAGGAGCUCCUGCUGCAUGGUGGGGGUUGGAAAGUUUCGGCGGUUGGGGAUGGACUCGCGGCUUAUCAGCUUGUUGGUGGGGUAGUGGCUUACCAAGGCUUUGCCGGGUAGCCGGCCUGAGAGGGUGACCGGCCACAUUGGGACUGAGAUACGGCCCAGACUCCUACGGGAGGCAGCAGUGGGGAAUAUUGCACAAUGGGCGGAAGCCUGAUGCAGCAACGCCGCGUGCGGGAUGACGGCCUUCGGGUUGUUAACCGCUUUCGCCUGUGACGAAGCGUGAGUGACGGUAAUGGGUAAAGAAGCACCGGCUAACUACGUG